rnacentral:tRNA from 1 species
GCCCCCGUCGUCUAGCCCGGUCAAGGAUGGCGGCCUCUCGAGCCGCAGACCUGGGUUCAAAAAAUUUGUUUGUAAUUUGAAACUCCCAGCGGGGGCACCA